rnacentral:rRNA from 1 species
UACGUAGGGUGCAAGCGUUGUCCGGAAUCAUUGGGCGUAAAGCGCGCGUAGGUGGCUUCGUAAGUCCGUUGUGAAAGUCAAAGGCUCAACCUUUGAAAGCCGAUGGAUACUGCGGAGCUAGAGUACGGAAGAGGCGAGUGGAAUUCCUGGUGUAGCGGUGGAAUGCGGCAGAUAUCAGGAGGAACACCAAUAGCGAAGGCAGCUCGCUGGGACGUUACUGACACUAAGGCGCGAAAGCGUGGGAGCGAACGAGG